CGCUUUCAGAUCACCCGUGAAAAACAAACAACGUGCGCUAAGGAGAGUCUCUGUUUCUCUACUGGACAAUCCGUACGUUUCCACGUCGAGCACCUCAACCAGCGGGAGAGUUAAGUCAUCGAACUUCUCAUACAGACACGGACGGGAAGAAACUCGGUCUAAAGUCUAGGCUGACAGUGACACAUUCUCUCACGCUGUCUUGUUCCACACCGGGUUGGGGGGGGGGGGGGGGGGGGGGUGUCAGCAUAGCGACAGAGAUAUUCCCCACAAGACUACUGCUCGUUGGACUGACUGAGUCUGAGUCGUUGGGUGGCCAAGGUGGAGAGGGAGAAGCGACUGAGACCCUUUGAGAAUUUCCAACAGCUCCUCAUAUUUACGUUGUCUUCAACUCCGACCCGACCAGCGGUCUUCAGCAUCGCUCGAUCUGCAACUACAGUUCACUUUAUCCCGCACGCCUCCUGUCCUUGCGCGAAGAAAUCAGAAGCUCCCCAACCGACUGCCGAGGUGGACGUGGGGGAGACUCGGUCCUCGGAAAGGUCCAUGCAUCUAUCUGAGGACAGAGGGAGUGGGAGUCUGUAAAUGGGGAACACUGAGAUCUAGCUUCUCAUCAGAUCUCCUGAAAAUUGAAAGCCAACAAACUGCUGGAGAAAGGGAAACCUGUUGUAGUUGACCUUCUUCCAAAGUUGUGAGACUGUGAUCACUUUUUCCGUAGCAGAGAGGGGACUUUGUGAAAGAUGCGUUAUGUGUAUUUUUUCAUGGCUAAAUAAUCAAACAUUUAAGAGAAUCGAUUUUUCAGAAGCGUCACGUUCCAGAUUGUUGCUACUUAGGCUGCCCAAUUCUAAUCUUUUUUUCCACUAAUUGGUAUUUUGACCAAUCACAUUAGAUCUUUUCACAUCAGAUCUUUUUCAGAGCGGAUUUGAUUGGUCAAUCAACCAAAGAGUGAAAACAAGAUCAGAAUUGGACUGUCUGUGUAAACGCAGCCUUAGGCUCUUGGUUAAUGAAUCAGGUCCCUGUAUAUACGUUCCAUCUGAGUCUAAUACAGUAUAUUUUACACACCCUGCUGAGUUGUCUUUACCUAAUGCAAUUUAAACUAACAAGCAGCUAAAUUAUCCACUUGAUUAAUACCCUAUUAUACCUGAAUGUAGAGAUUGCCUUUUGAAUGAUUUAAUUGUUUGGUUUGAUCAGUGGGACCUUGAAGGCAUUUGUUAUUGUGAGAAAAGCUCUCUUCAAUGGCAAAAUAAAAGACAUUUGAUUGUGAAUGUUUUAUAUUUGUAAUAUUGGACAAAAACAAAUAGUUUAGCUUGAUUUGCAUAAUAAUGACAUCA
rnacentral:lncRNA from 1 species